rnacentral:rRNA from 1 species
AAUUGGAGGGCAAGUCUGGUGCCAGCAGCCGCGGUAAUUCCAGCUCCAAUAGCGUAUAUUAAAGUUGUUGCAGUUAAAAAGCUCGUAGUUGAAUUUCGGGAUUAGUGCGCCGGUCGUGCCUUCGGUAUGUACUGGUGUUACUGGUUCCUACCUUCUGACGAACCGUCAUGUCAUUAAUUUGGUGUGGCGGGGAAUCAGGACUGUUACUUUGAAAAAAUUAGAGUGUUUAAAGCAGGCUCGCGCUUGAAUACAUUAGCAUGGAAUAAUGAAAUAGGACGUUCGAUCCUAUUUUGUUGGUUUCUAGGAUUGACGUAAUGAUUAAUAGGGAUAGUUGGGGGCAUUAGUAUUCAAUUGUCAGAGGUGAAAUUCUUGGAUUUAUUGAAGACUAACUACUGCGAAAGCAUUUGCCAAGGAUGUUUUCAUUAAUCAAGAACGAAAGUUAGGGGAUCGAAGACGAUCAGAUACCGUCGUAGUCUUAACCAUAAACUAUGCCGACUAGGGAUCGGAUGAUGUUAUUUUUAAUGACUCAUUCGGCGCCUUACGGGAAACCAAAGUGU